AUUUAUAUAGUUUAAUAAACAUUACAUUUUCAUUGUAAAAUUGUACUUUGUACUAUAAAUA
rnacentral:tRNA from 1 species